rnacentral:rRNA from 1 species
GACGAACGCUGGCGGCAUGCCUAACACAUGCAAGUCGAACGAAACCUUCGGGUCUAUGUGCGCACGUGUGCGUGACGCGGGGUAACCUACCCGUAAGUUCGCUAUAACUCCCCGUGAGGGGUCCUCAUACAAGAGGAUCUCUUCCGGCCAAAGAGUUAUCGCCGUUGGAUGGGGCUGGGUUGGGUUCGCUGGUUGGUGGGGUAAUAGCCGACCAUGGCCACGUUCGUGAGCUGGUGAGAGAGGAUGAUCAGCCACACUGGGACUGAGACCCGGCACAGACUCGUGAGGGAGGAAGGAGUGGGGAAGAUUGGAGAACGGGCGCAAGAUUGAUCAAGCAAUGCCGCGUGAGUGAUGCAGGCGUUAGGGUUGUAAAGCUCGCUUACCCGGGAGGAUAAUGACAGUAACGGGAGAAUAAGCCCCGGCUAACUUCGUG